UCCGUCUCCCUCAGUUUUGCCCCGAAACCACUCCUCCCUCCUCCUCACAGAGCAUCGCCGCCUUCCACCAUCUCUCUCUGCGCCGGUGCCGUCCUCGCCCUUCUCCAGCGCGCCCUCGGCGCCUUCCACGCCAGCGCCGUCCUCGCCCUCCUCCAGCGCGCCUCCGCUGCCCUCCACCCAGCCCGCGCCGCUGCGUUCCUCCCUCCUCAGUCCUCACACCUCGCCGCCGAUCUCCUCCCAGCCCGCGUCGCCGCCCUCAUCUUUCUAGGCCUCCGUACCUCUCUCCAGGCGUCCACGAGGCCAUCGUCCUCCCAGACCCCGCCGCCGCAUUCAUCCCCAUAUGAACCGAGUAGCCGCCGUCCUGCCCUCGAGACCGAACCACGCCCGAGCGCCCUCUCCCGAAGAACACCGGCCACGCUGCCCAGAAGUCUGCAUUUCUUCUUCAACUCCGGCAAUGCACCGGUCGUCUUCUCCAGUGAGGUUCUAAAACUUUUCUCCAGUUAGUGAUCAGAGCUGAAAAACACUAAUUCCAUCAGGCGUUGGCAUGUCCAUACCUCUUGCUCCAGUUUCUGAAUUCGAGGCCAUGCUGGCAUAAGAGAGCCGGACGACAGCGACCCAUGUCUGGUUCGAGGUUAUGGAUACGCCACACAUGCAACCUACGGUUCACAUCUGUGCGCCGCCAUCUCGCCAAAUGAUUGAACUUUGGGCACUGUAUUUUGAUUCUUAACCACUGAACUUUGUAAUUGAUCUAUUUAGUUUGAUGUGUAGCAAUCGAUUAUGUGAAUAUGAAGCUGUCGCUGUGAGUUUGAGUUGUUGCUUAGAUGCAUUUGAUUUAAAGUUUGGAGAUGAGAAUCGUGUAACAUUUGUUGAAUGCCAAAACUAUCUGAUGAUAUUAUGAAGUUUUACUUGCCAUUUUCCGGCAUAUA